GAAUGCUGACAUAAGUAACGAUAAAGCGGGUGAAAAGCCCGCUCGCCGGAAGACCAAGGGUUCCUGUCCAACGUUAAUCGGGGCAGGGUGAGUCGACCCCUAAGGCGAGGCCGAAAGGCGUAGUCGAUGGGAAACGGGUUAAUAUUCCCGUACUUGGUGUUACUGCGAAGGGGGGACGGAGAAGGCUAUGUUGGCCGGGCGACGGUUGUCCCGGUUUAAGCGUGUAGGUGUGUGUUCCAGGUAAAUCCGGUUCACUUUAACACUGAGGCGUGAUGACGAGGCACUACGGUGCUGAAGCAACAAAUGCCCUGCUUCCAGGAAAAGCCUCUAAGCAUCAGGUAACAUCAAAUCGUACCCCAAACCGACACAGGUGGUCAGGUAGAGAAUACCAAGGCGCUUGAGAGAACUCGGGUGAAGGAACUAGGCAAAAUGGUGCCGUAACUUCGGGAGAAGGCACGCUGACACGUAGGUGAAGUGAUUUACUCAUGGAGCUGAAGUCAGUCGAAGAUACCAGCUGGCUGCAACUGUUUAUUAAAAACACAGCACUGUGCAAACACGAAAGUGGACGUAUACGGUGUGACGCCUGCCCGGUGCCGGAAGGUUAAUUGAUGGGGUCAGCGCAAGCGAAGCUCCUGAUCGAAGCCCCGGUAAACGGCGGCCGUAACUAUAACGGUCCUAAGGUAGCGAAAUUCCUUGUCGGGUAAGUUCCGACCUGCACGAAUGGCGUAAUGAUGGCCAGGCUGUCUCCACCCGAGACUCAGUGAAAUUGAACUCGCUGUGAAGAUGCAGUGUACCCGCGGCAAGACGGAAAGACCCCGUGAACCUUUACUAUAGCUUGACACUGAACAUUGAGCCUUGAUGUGUAGGAUAGGUGGGAGGCUUUGAAGUGUGGACGCCAGUCUGCAUGGAGCCGACCUUGAAAUACCACCCUUUAAUGUUUGAUGUUCUAACGUGGACCCGUGAUCCGGGUUGCGGACAGUGUCUGGUGGGUAGUUUGACUGGGGCGGUCUCCUCCUAAAGAGUAACGGAGGAGCACGAAGGUUGGCUAAUCCUGGUCGGACAUCAGGAGGUUAGUGCAAUGGCAUAAGCCAGCUUGACUGCGAGCGUGACGGCGCGAGCAGGUGCGAAAGCAGGUCAUAGUGAUCCGGUGGUUCUGAAUGGAAGGGCCAUCGCUCAACGGAUAAAAGGUACUCCGGGGAUAACAGGCUGAUACCGCCCAAGAGUUCAUAUCGACGGCGGUGUUUGGCACCUCGAUGUCGGCUCAUCACAUCCUGGGGCUGAAGUAGGUCCCAAGGGUAUGGCUGUUCGCCAUUUAAAGUGGUACGCGAGCUGGGUUUAGAACGUCGUGAGACAGUUCGGUCCCUAUCUGCCGUGGGCGCUGGAGAACUGAGGGGGGCUGCUCCUAGUACGAGAGGACCGGAGUGGACGCAUCACUGGUGUUCGGGUUGUCAUGCCAAUGGCACUGCCCGGUAGCUAAAUGCGGAAGAGAUAAGUGCUGAAAGCAUCUAAGCACGAAACUUGCCCCGAGAUGAGUUCUCCCUGAGACUUUAGGUCUCCUGAAGGAACGUUGAAGACG
rnacentral:rRNA from 1 species